rnacentral:rRNA from 1 species
CCCUUAGAUGUUCUGGGCUGCACGCGCGCUACACUGUCGGAUUCAGCGAGUCAUAUCCUUAGCCGAAAGGUUUGGGUAAUCUUUUGAAAGUCCGACGUGAUGGGGAUUGAUCAUUGCAAUUAUUGAUCAUGAACGAGGAAUUCCUAGUAAGCGCGAGUCAUCAGCUCGCGUUGAUUACGUCCCUGCCCUUUGUACACACCGCCCGUCGCUACUACCGAUUGAAUGGUUUAGUGAGAUCUUCGGAUUGGCGCCUACGCGGCUUCUCUGAGGCCACGCUGGAUGCCGAAAAGUUGCUCAAACUGUAUCAUUUAGAGGAAGUAAAAGUCGUAACA